rnacentral:rRNA from 1 species
UAGGGAAUCUUCCGCAAUGGGCGAAAGCCUGACGGAGCAACGCCGCGUGAGUGAUGAAGGUCUUCGGAUCGUAAAACUCUGUUAUUAGGGAAGAACAUAUGUGUAAGUAACUGUGCACAUCUUGACGGUACCUAAUCAGAAAGCCACGGCUAACUACGUGCCAGCAGCCGCGGUAAUACGUAGGUGGCAAGCGUUAUCCGAAAUUAUUGGGCGUAAAGCGCGCGUAGGCGGUUUUUUAAGUCUGAUGUGAAAGCCCACGGCUCAACCGUGGAGGGUCAUUGGAAACUGGAAAACUUGAGUGCAGAAGAGGAAAGUGGAAUUCCAUGUGUAGCGGUGAAAUGCGCAGAGAUAUGGAGGAACACCAGUGGCGAAGGCGACUUUCUGGUCUGUAACUGACGCUGAUGUGCGAAAGCGUGUGGAUCAAACAGGAUUAGAUACCCUGGUAGUCCACGCCGUAAACGAUGAGUGCUAAGUGUUAGGGGGUUUCCGCCCCUUAGUGCUGCAGCUAACGCAUUAAGCACUCCGCCUGGGGAGUACGACCGCAAGGUUG